AAAUUGAAGAGUUUGAUCAUGGCUCAGAUUGAACGCUGGCGGCAGGCCUAACACAUGCAAGUCGAACGGUAACAGGAAGCAGCUUGCUGCUUCGCUGACGAGUGGCGGACGGGUGAGUAAUGUCUGGGAAACUGCCUGAUGGAGGGGGAUAACUACUGGAAACGGUGGCUAAUACCGCAUAAUGUCGCAAGACCAAAGAGGGGGACCUUCGGGCCUCUUGCCAUCAGAUGUGCCCAGAUGGGAUUAGCUUGUUGGUGGGGUAACGGCUCACCAAGGCGACGAUCCCUAGCUGGUCUGAGAGGAUGACCAGCCACACUGGAACUGAGACACGGUCCAGACUCCUACGGGAGGCAGCAGUGGGGAAUAUUGCACAAUGGGCGCAAGCCUGAUGCAGCCAUGCCGCGUGUAUGAAGAAGGCCUUCGGGUUGUAAAGUACUUUCAGCGGGGAGGAAGGUGUUGUGGUUAAUAACCACAGCAAUUGACGUUACCCGCAGAAGAAGCACCGGCUAACUCCGUGCCAGCAGCCGCGGUAAUACGGAGGGUGCAAGCGUUAAUCGGAAUUACUGGGCGUAAAGCGCACGCAGGCGGUCUGUCAAGUCGGAUGUGAAAUCCCCGGGCUCAACCUGGGAACUGCAUUCGAAACUGGCAGGCUUGAGUCUUGUAGAGGGGGGUAGAAUUCCAGGUGUAGCGGUGAAAUGCGUAGAGAUCUGGAGGAAUACCGGUGGCGAAGGCGGCCCCCUGGACAAAGACUGACGCUCAGGUGCGAAAGCGUGGGGAGCAAACAGGAUUAGAUACCCUGGUAGUCCACGCCGUAAACGAUGUCUACUUGGAGGCUGUGCCCUUGAGGCGUGGCUUCCGGAGCUAACGCGUUAAGUAGACCGCCUGGGGAGUACGGCCGCAAGGUUAAAACUCAAAUGAAUUGACGGGGGCCCGCACAAGCGGUGGAGCAUGUGGUUUAAUUCGAUGCAACGCGAAGAACCUUACCUGGUCUUGACAUCCACGGAAGGUCUCAGAGAUGAGACUGUGCCUUCGGGAACCGUGAGACAGGUGCUGCAUGGCUGUCGUCAGCUCGUGUUGUGAAAUGUUGGGUUAAGUCCCGCAACGAGCGCAACCCUUAUCCUUUGUUGCCAGCGGUUAGGCCGGGAACUCAAAGGAGACUGCCAGUGAUAAACUGGAGGAAGGUGGGGAUGACGUCAAGUCAUCAUGGCCCUUACGACCAGGGCUACACACGUGCUACAAUGGCGCAUACAAAGAGAAGCGACCUCGCGAGAGCAAGCGGACCUCAUAAAGUGCGUCGUAGUCCGGAUUGGAGUCUGCAACUCGACUCCAUGAAGUCGGAAUCGCUAGUAAUCGUGGAUCAGAAUGCCACGGUGAAUACGUUCCCGGGCCUUGUACACACCGCCCGUCACACCAUGGGAGUGGGUUGCAAAAGAAGUAGGUAGCUUAACCUUCGGGAGGGCGCUUACCACUUUGUGAUUCAUGACUGGGGUGAAGUCGUAACAAGGUAACCGUAGGGGAACCUGCGGUUGGAUCACCUCCUUACCAGAAAGAA
rnacentral:rRNA from 1 species